rnacentral:rRNA from 1 species
GGAAGAGAUAUUAAAGAUGGCCUCUACUUGUAAGCUAUCGCUUUGCGAUGGGUCUGCGUCUGAUUAGCUAGUUGGUGGGGCAACGGCCUACCAAGGCGACGAUCAGUAGCCGGUCUGAGAGGAUGAACGGCCACAUUGGAACUGAGACACGGUCCAGACUCCUACGGGAGGCAGCAGUGGGGAAUCUUCCGCAAUGGGCGAAAGCCUGACGGAGCAACGCCGCGUGAGUGAAGAAGGUCUUCGGAUCGUAAAGCUCUGUUGUCGGGGACGAAUGUUGAGACCUAGAACAUAGGUUUCAAAUGACGGUACCUGACGAGGAAGCCACGGCUAACUACGUG